UAUCAUAUAAAAAGGCGGUGAAGGUAUGCCUCACAUUCACUGCCCUGCUCCCGACACCAAUCAUGAGGACCUUCAUUGUGAUAGCUGUGCUUGCCCUUUCUGCAUGUUUGGUUUAUUCGGAGACGUGCACCUCUACUGCAGAUUGUGAUAGCACGAAUUGCAACAACGGGUUGAACCUCGCCUGUUCUAGUGGAGAUUGUAUCUGCGUCGGUACAUCGACACACACAGGCAUUCACUGCAGCCAUCAAUCCGAGUGCCACAAUCAUCAUAACCAUUGUAGCUUCGGUUAUUGCUAUAACCAUGGUUGCCACUGUGUAGGGUGAGUACACCACUGUU